rnacentral:rRNA from 1 species
GAUGAACGCUGGCGGCGUGCCUAAUACAUGCAAGUCGAGCGAAUGAUGAGGAGCUUGCUCCUCUGAUUUAGCGGCGGACGGGUGAGUAACACGUGGGUAACCUGCCUGUAAGAUGGGGAUAACUCCGGGAAACCGGGGCUAAUACCGAAUAAUAAAAGAGGAAGCAUUUCUUCUUUUUGAAAGUUGGUUUCGGCUAACACUUACAGAUGGGCCUGCGGCGCAUUAGCUAGUUGGUGAGGUAACGGCUCACCAAGGCGACGAUGCGUAGCCGACCUGGGAGGGGGGUCGGCCACACUGGGACUGGGACACGGCCCAGACUCCUACGGGAGGCAGCAGUAGGGAAUCUUCGGCAAUGGGCGAAAGCCUGACCGAGCAACGCCGCGUGAGCGAGGAAGGCCUUCGGGUCGUAAAGCUCUGUUGUCAGGGAAGAACAAGUACGAGAGUAACUGCUCGUACCUUGACGGUACCUGACCAGAAAGCCACGGCUAACUACGUGCCAGCCGCCGCAGUAAAAC